rnacentral:lncRNA from 1 species
AAACAUUGGACUUCCUCUCUGCCUCUCUUCAACCUAAGUCUUUGUGACAGGAGUAUAUUUAGGUCUGCAAGAGGGUACUGAACUAAAAUCCUCAGAUUGGAAUUUGCUGUGCUAACUAUAUGCAUUGUUUGGAGAACAGCGAACAUUCAAAAUUGUCUUCACCUGUGGGCAGUCCUGGUUCAUAGAGGUGGCAGGAUGGAGAUUGAGCACAGAAAGGAAUCUAGGAAUCCUUGAGAGUUGAAUAAAACUGCCACUUUUUUUUAAAGAGCUGAAUGA